UUCUAGAACACUGGUUCCAGUAUGAUCAACAAAGUUAAGCAACAUAGAGUUUGGUCAGUACCUAAAUGGGUGACCACUUGGGAAUACCAGGUGUU